rnacentral:tRNA from 1 species
CAAAGCGUAAUUUAAUCAAAAUAUCUCGCUUACACCGAGAACAUAUCUGUUAGACCCAGAUCACUUUGA